GUGCUCACUUCAGCAGCACAUGUACUAAAAUUGGAACAAUACAAUGAAGUUAGCAUGGCCCCUGAACCAGGAUUAGACACAAAUUCAUGAAGCAUUCCAUUAAAAA
ensembl:snRNA U6 U6 spliceosomal RNA